GGAGCAUCCCCAUGGUGGUGGUAACCAUCAACACAUUGGUCAUGCCAGUACAGUCCGUCGUGAUGCACCUCCUGGACAAAAGGUUGGUCUUAUUGCUGCAAGGAGGACUGGUCGUCUUCGUGGUCAAGCCGCUGCUACUGCAGCCAAGGCUGACAAGGCUUAAGCCAUUCACUUGUUACUUUUCUAUCUUGUUAUUUUAUCCUGAUCAAUUUUUGAGUAUUCAGUUAAAAACCCAUUUUGCAGUAAAGUUAUAACAUGCUAAAUUUUGUUGGGAUGUUUAGUAAGUUUUGUUUUCAUGAUGAUCCUU
rnacentral:misc_RNA from 1 species